UACACAGCAUAAACACAGCAUCACAUUUCAAUAUUCAUUAAUAUCACAUCACUCUGAAGCACCCUGAGUUCAUCCUAAUACAUUUAAUACAGAAUAACUUUGAAGAUUUGAUAAGAGACUGGGUGUGAUCUAUAUUCUACAAUAACUUCAUGUCUCGUAAAGAGGUGAUAAAGAGCUACUGAACAUCUUGUCAGCUCUGGCCUAGCAGUUAGCACUAUUGCCCUAUAAGGCAAUAAUUAAAGCCGUUCUAAGUAGUGUAGUUCUUGUAUAGCAUGACAGCAAGGUUAAAUUAAUCACUGUGUAUAACACUAUAGCAUAUUAUAGUAACAACUAGCGGUGGCCGAGAAUGUGUUUGUGCAGAAUAGUUAUUCUUUAUUAUUUAUAUUGAUAAAUAUAUAUAAAAUUUCUGAAAUAGAAAUUCUUAAGUUAUUCAGUAUGUACCUAAAGUACAAAUCUAAGCAAGAAUCAACAGACAUAUAGACGGACAAACAAAUGUUGUAUUUAUUGCUAGUACAUGUACGGUGAAUAAACCCAUAUGGAUUUAUAAAUAUAUCUUAUUUUUUAUUACUUACAGACAAACCGUAUUUAUGUACACGUAUAUAAAAUAUGACAACACUGUUAUUAAUGUUCUUGCAACUGUUUAUUUCAGGAUUAUUUUUGGACAUAUAUUACAGCAAGGGAAAAAGUCAGCCGACUAAGAGGGAACUGAAUAAAUGAGAACCAAUAUCAGCCGAUGGCGACUCCAUAGUUAACAUCAGUCCAAAAGUGAAAGAGCCUUUUUCCAAAAUGAUAUAUGGUAUUGGGACUAUGCUGACUCAAUUAAGAUCUUCCUGUGUGCCAAUUUGACUGUUUAAUGAUGAUUAUCGCGCAGGAGCUUUUAACAUUUUAUAAAAUUUAAUUUAUCAAAGUUUCUUUAAAUAAGGAAAUUAAAUGAAAAUUUGAAAAAAAAGUAUUACAUGGCGACAUGCGAUAGAUGUUAAUAAUCACGAAAGUGAGUCACUAAAAAAAAAUUAUUUAAUAUAACAAUAAAUAUUAUAUUGUAGUUAAUUUUCUUUAUUAUAUGUGAAGCCUUUA